UAUGUUAUCAUUACCUUUGUUGCUUUGGCGGGCCGUCAGGCUUCGGCUAGGCUACUGGCUCCGGCUGGUAAGCGCCCGCCAGAGGACCCCAAACUCUGAAUGUUAGUGUCGUCUGAGUACUAUCUAAUAGUUAAAACUUUUCAACAACGGAUCUCUUGGUUCUGGCAUCGAUGAAGAACGCAGCGAAAUGCGAUAAGUAAUGUGAAUUGCAGAAUUCAGUGAAUCAUCGAAUCUUUGAACGCACAUUGCGCCCCUUGGCAUUCCGAGGGGCAUGCCUGUUCGAGCGUCAUUACAACCCUCAGGCACUGCUUGGUAUUGGGCUCCGCUGCUAAUCCAGCGGGCCUUAAAACGAGUGGCGGCGCCCUCAGGCUCUGAGCGUAGUAAAUCUCCUCGCUAUAGAGUCCUGGUGGUGGUAGUCAUCAACCCCCAACUUUCUAAGUUUGACCUCGGAUCAGGUAGGGAUACCCGCUGAACUUAAGCAUAU
rnacentral:rRNA from 1 species